rnacentral:rRNA from 1 species
UACGUAGGGGGCAAGCGUUGUCCGGAUUUAUUGGGCGUAAAGAGCGUGUAGGCGGCUUUACAGGUCCGUUGUGAAAACUCGAGGCUCAACCUCGAGACGCCGGUGGAAACCGUAAAGCUAGAGUCCGGAAGAGGAGAGUGGAAUUCCUGGUGUAGCGGUGAAAUGCGCAGAUAUCAGGAGGAACACCCGUGGCGAAAGCGGCUCUCUGGGACGGUACUGACGCUGAGGCGCGAAAGCGUGGGGAGCAAACAGG